rnacentral:rRNA from 1 species
AUGUUUAAACAUGUACGACUUGCCAUCUACUUCAAGUCUUUUUUCCUUCACAUUGUACUCCUAUAUAUACCCCAUAUGAGUGCCAGAUCAAUACAACACAAUAAAGAUAUUUGGCAUUCUAUAUUUUCUAUAUUUGAAACAUACACAUGGCAGCUUAAAAGGGAUGCAGGGUGCAGUUGGCUCACUGACAGGUGGGCCAACAUGCUUUUGGGCCCACAUGUCAGUGAGCCAACUGCUUCCUGCAGUACGUUAGACAAGCCACCUCGUCUGAUGUUUGAUGACCAGAGUGAGCUCCUCAAGCUGCAGUGGAAUAGCGAUCCAUGGAGCUAG